rnacentral:rRNA from 1 species
CUCAGAAUCAACGCUGGCGGCGUACCUCAGACAUGCAAGUCGAACGAUUAAAGCUCCCUUCGGGGAGUGCAUAGAGUGGCGCACGGGUGAGUAACACGUAAGUAAUCUACCCUCGGGUGGGGAAUAACGUUCGGAAACGAACGCUAAUACCGCAUAAUGCAGCGGCACCGCAAGGUGACAGUUGUUAAAGAUUUAUUGCCUGGGGAGGAGCUUGCGGCAGAUUAGCUUGUUGGUAAGGUAACGGCUUACCAAGGCUACGAUCUGUAUCCGGUCUAAGAGGACGGUCGGACACACUGACACUGAAUAACGGGUCAGACUCCUACGGGAGGCAGCAGUCGGGAAUUUUGGGCAAUGGGGGAAACCCUGACCCAGCAACGCCGCGUGAAGGAUGAAGUAUUUCGGUAUGUAAACUUCGAAAGAAUAGGAAGAAUUAAUGACGGUACUAUUUAUAAGGUCCGGCUAACUACGUGCCAGCAGCCGCGGUAAUACGUAGGGACCAAGCGUUGUUCGGAUUUACUGGGCGUAAAGGGCGCGUAGGCGGCGCGGUAAGUCACUUGUGAAAUCUCUGAGCUUAACUCAGAACGGCCAAGUGAUACUGCAGUGCUAGAGUGUGGAAGGGGCAAUCGGAAUUCUUGGUGUAGCGGUGAAAUGCGUAGAUAUCAAGAGGAACACCUGAGGUGAAGACGGGUUGCUGGGCCAACACUGACGCUGAGGCGCGAAAGCCAGGGGAGCAAACGGGAUUAGAUACCCCGGUAGUCCUAGCCCUA